GUUGUCCGGAAUUACUGGGCGUAAAGAGCUCGUAGGUGGUUUGUCGCGUUGUCCGUGAAAACUCACAACUCAAUUGUGGGCGUGCGGGCGAUACGGGCAGACUGGAGUACUGCAGGGGAGACUGGAAUUCCUGGUGUAGCGGUGGAAUGCGCAGAUAUCAGGAGGAACACCGGUGGCGAAGGCGGGUCUCUGGGCAGUAACUGACGCUGAGGAGCGAAAGCGUGGGGAGCGAACAGG
rnacentral:rRNA from 1 species